rnacentral:rRNA from 1 species
CCUACGGGAGGCAGCAGUGGGGAAUAUUGGACAAUGGGGGAAACCCUGAUCCAGCCAUCCCGCGUGUGUGAAGAAGGUCUUCGGAUUGUAAAGCACUUUAAGUUGGGAGGAAGGGCAUUAACCUAAUACGUUAGUGUUUUGACGUUACCGACAGAAUAAGCACCGGCUAACUACGUGCCAGCAGCCGCGGUAAU